AAACAGGAUAAUAGACAAAUCUCCACUGAACAACAGUUUUGAAUAAUAUAUGUAGAGAGUAUCCUGAAUGUAGAGACAGUGUUUGAUGUACACCUCUGCCUGCGCACUGAGAAUAGCCAGUUGGCCCUGUGCUGCAAUAAGCAUGUGGCUGAGUUUCUCAUGCAUGAGAUAAGUUUCUUCCGUGGACUAAACAAUUUAGACAACUGAUGAAGGAAAUGCAGAUUCACCAUGAAGUCUCACAAAAUUAGUUCAAAAUAAUGCUUUCUGUGAUAUUGUUAUAAAAAUGAAUACCAAACAGAUUUAUGCAAUGAAAAUCCUCAGCAAGUGGAAGACGCUUUAAAAAGCAGAGAAUGGGCGGGGGUCGUGGCUCACACCUGUAAUCCCAGCACUUUGGGAGGCCGAGGCAGGUGGAUCACCUGAGGUCAGGAGUUCGAGACCAGCCUGGCCAACAUGGUGAAACCCCAUCUUUACUAAAAAUACAAAAAUUAGCCAGGUGUGGUGGUGCACACCUGUAAUCCCAGCUACUCGGGAGGCUGAGGCAGGAGAAUCACUUGGACCUGGGAGGCAGAGGUUGCAGUGAGCUGAGAUCUUGCCACUGCACUCCAGCCUGGGCAACAGAGCGAGACUCCAUCUCAAACAAACAAACAAACACAGAGAACGCUCAUUUCCAAGGAGAACUUGAUGUGUUGGUAAAUUGUGAUCAACAGUAGAUCACUUCAUGCUUUUCAUCUCAAAAAGGAUUUUUCAAGAUGCUUGAAAUGUUCAUGCUUUCAAAAUGAAAAUCAUUUGUACUUAGUAAUGCAUUACUAUGUGAAUGAUGAUUUACUGGCCCUGGUUAGUAAAUCUGAAGGCAAUCUUCUGAAUUAUUUGGCAAGAUUCUACAUUGAGGAAGUGGUGUUAGCCAUCAACUUUACUAUGUGCACAGAAACGUUAAACCUGAUAAUGUUAUUUUGAGUAUAAAAGUUCAGGCCAGGCAUGGUGGCUCACGCUUGUAAUUCCGGCACUUUGGGAGGCCGAGGAGGGCAGAUCACCUGAGGUCGGGAGUUCAAGACCAGCUUGACCAACAUGGAGAAACCCUGUCUCUACUAAAAAUGCAAAAUUAGCUGGGCAUGGUAGCACAUGCCUGUAAUCCCAGCUAUUCGGGAGGCUGAGGCAGGAGAAUUGCUUGAACCUGGGAGGUGGAGGUUGCAGUGAGCCAAGAUCACACCAUUGCACUCUAGCCUGGGCAAAAAGGGCAAAACUCCAUCUCAAAAAAAAAAAAUUAGUUCAUAUUUUCCUGGCUGACCCUUGGUUAUGACUGAAGAUAAAUGAUGAACUGUUUGGUCUCCCAUGGCCAUUAACAUACUUAACUACAUAACACCUGAGAUUCUAUAAGCAAUGGAAGAUAGCAUGGGAAAAUACAGCCCAGAAUAUGACUUUUUUUUUUUCUUGGUGUUGUUGGGGCUCAGAAAACUAUGCCCCAAAAUGAAGGCUUCAGAAGCAGCCUCAGAAGAGAAAGUUUUUUUCUGACCUUCUCCUGCUCUACUGUCUUUCACUCCUUUUCUCCACAGAGGCUAGCUGUAGAAAUCAGAAUUCCUCUACCCCAAGGUGGAUUUUAGCAAUCAAAACCCCUUUUCCCUACAACCAGCCAUAAAACCUGAAAAUAUUACUCUAAUUUUCCCUCCACCUUUCUUUGUAAAAACUGGCCAUAAAUUAUCUGACAUACAUUGACUGUAGGUCGUAAGACCCGCAUUCCAGAGAGUGCUCUGCCCCACACCCAGAAGAAAAGAAUGCAUGCUCAGAGAGGAGAAUCUAGGCAUACAGGCCUUGCUGGGUUUCCUCACUCAGUAUUAGAUUAUGCCCUUUUUGUCCAACCAUAUUUUUACACAACUGUUCAUACUUUAUUGAACCUAAGCAUAAAAAUAGAUAUUUUCCCCUCUAUCUUUGGUUCUUCACUGAUAUGGUUUGGCUCUGUGUCCCCACCCAAAUCUCAUCUUGUAGCUCCCGUAAUUCCCACGUGUUGUGGGAGGGGCUCAGUGGGAGAUGACUGAAUUAUGAGGGCGUGUCUUUCCUGGGCUGUUCUCUUGAUAGUGAAUGGGUCUCAUGAGAUCCUAUGGUUUUUUUUUUUUCUUUUUUUUUUUUGAGAUGGAGUCUCACUUUGUUGCCCAGGCUGGAGUGCAGUGGCAUGAUCUCAGCUCAUUGCAACCUCUGCCUCCUAGGUUCAAGCAAUUCUCCUGCCUCAGCCUCCCAAGUAGCUGGGAUUACAGGCACAUGCCACCAUGCCUGGCUAAUUUUUGUAUUUUUGGUAAAGAUGGGAUUUCACUGUGUUGGUCAGGCUGGUCUCAAACUCCUGACCUCGUGAUCCGCCCACCUUGACCUCCCAAAGUGUUGGGAUUACAGGCAUGAGCCACCAUGCAUGGCUGAGAUCCUAUGGUUUUAAAAAUGGGAAUUGCCUUGCAAAAGCUCUCUCUUUGCCUGCCACCAUCCAUGUAAGAUGUGACUUGCUCCUUCUUGCCUUCCACCGUGAUUGUGAGGCCUUUCCAGCCAUGUGGGUCCGUAAGUCCAUUAAACCUCUUUCUUUUGUAAAUUGUCCACUCUCAGGUAUGUCUUUAUCAGCAGCAUGAAAACAGACUAAUACAUUCACUCUGAAGGCUCCCGGGUAUAUACGUUAAAUAUAUCUGUAUGCCUUUUCUCCUAUUAAUCUGUCUUUUUUGAGUUAAUUUUUUAGCAAAACUUCAGAAGGUGAAGAGGAGCUUUCCCAUUGGCCCAAAGUGUCUGUAUGUGUAAUUGCUACAUGGAGGAACAGUUUUAUACAUAAUCAUUAAUGAAAACUGAAGUAAAGAUCAUGGACCUAAAAGAACAAUUUCAAUUCCCUUAUCACAUCAUGGUUGUACCUGUAGAAGCCAGAGAGACAUUAUUCACAGACUCAUCUUCAGAAGAGAGUGUAAUCUAGGGCAAAAUGAAAUUAAGGAUUUCAAAAGCAUGCAUUUUUUGAAGAUACAAAUUGAGAAAAUAUACAAGAGCUAUAAUCAACUUGUGUUUUGGAUGUUAGCAAUUCUUCUAACACACCCCAACUUUGAUAUGUAUGAUGUGUAAAGAAAUACUGAAAUUCUGCCUUCUUUUUCUUUUACAGUAUUUUUCAAUUACAUUUAUCAUUCAUUGGUUUUACAUGCACAAUAAAAAAGUGUUUUUUUCCAAUUAAGGCUCUCUAAAGAACAUGAUGCAGUCCAAUAAGUACAUUAAUCACAAAUGAGGAUGUGCAGCAGAAUUGCAGAAUUUAGAGAACAGCUUUUGAAUUGAAGAUUAUGUAAGAAUAAUAAGAACCCUAGCAAGAUAAACCAGAACUAAGUAGGAAAUGACAAGAAUGCACACAGACCUAAUAGCCCUUUCCUUGUCCAUCUUGUAUCAUAGAGAAUUCAAACCAAGAUAAAGAAAUUUUAUAAAUUAAAUGAAGAUAAAAUAUAGAUGGAUAAAUAAAUUAUAGAUGAAAUAGUUGAUUCAAUGGGUUCAGGGACAGCUUGAGGAUACAGCAACAUUUUCCUAAGAACAUGGAGAUUCCACAUCUAGACUGAAGAGAAUAGAAUAGCAGUACCACACUGUGAGGUCAUGUACUCAUUGAGCUGUGAGAACUCCAGAAGGACCAAAUUUUGCUAAUGAUGGGUAUUUUUUAGUACUUUCACAUUCAGACAGCUGUAAAUCCCAGGCCAAAUGAUUCAAAGAUGUCUAUCAGUAGCAAAAGCUGGCCCUUCAGGAGUUCUCACAGCUCAUUGAGUGCAUGGCAGAAUCCUGUUCCCAAAAGCAGAUUUUUGAAAAGCUUAGUGACAAAGAGGAAGUGAUGGAAGUGAUUAUGCAGGAAACUGACUUUAUGAAAUGGGAAAUCCCCAAGUCUGAGAUGUUUAGGAAAGUGCUGGAAGCUCAACUUGAGGAUGUCAUUGCUGAGACUUCAAAGGAACAUAGACUUGGUGAUCACAGACAGAACGUCUCUGAACAAACAGAAUGUUAGCUUCAGGUCUCACAAUAAAGCAAGAAAGCCAGUAACCAGGUGCCACUUUAGAAUAUCGCAAGAUAUUUCUAAAACAAAAUAGUAAUUUGAAGAGGAAGUAUUACUUUAUAAAUAGAAAUGUGUCAGACAUGAGGCCUCUCGUGUUUUAGAAGCAAAAAAACAUGCAUAAGAGGAGCUGCAUGUUUCAGAAUGCCAUUAGCAGCAAGAUAUAUUAAUGUUUAAGGAGAAAUUAUAAAAGUCUAAAGAAGAAUGGCAUAAUGAAACAAAAUGUGAGGCAGAAGACAUGGUAAAAGUGUGUGUGUGUGUGUGUGUGUGUGUGUGUGUGUAGAAUAAGGUAUAUGAAAAAGCAAGAGCAAUAAGAUGUGAAGAAAAUGAGAAAAUAACUGGUGAAAAUGAAAGAUUUGUUCUAUUGUGGAUAAAUUAACAGCUCAAAAUAGAUAACAUGAAAAUGAGUUUAAGGAUUUUGCAACUAAGAGUAGGCUGCCUGCUGGGAAGCUUAGACUGCAGAAACUACUCAGGAGGUCAGUGAUGAGAAACAUUCCCCCGAGAUAGUUUCAAGUUCUUAAUUCUAAAAUGACCGAGCUCAUGACUCCCAGUUCUAGUUUGAUAUAGACAGUGCUGGGUUCACUCUGGAAAGAUCAUAUUCAGAAGUUAGAUAUGGCAAUAGUGUUAGAAUUACAAUCUGCUCCUGAGAUAGGCAACUGGGCCUGACAGCAAGGUUCCAAAACCUACCGGGUGAAGAAAUGAUGACAAAGGAUUUAUGUGUUGGUAUGUGAUUGUAUAUUAUUUUUG
rnacentral:lncRNA from 1 species